GGAAAAUGAAACACCUCUACAAAAUGUGGCAGAACUGACCAUUUUCACUAUGCAUGGGCUGGAGAAUACUUUGGUGAACAUUUAUUCUUUCCCAAUUUAGUCCACACACAAAUAUUUGUCUUCUCAAAUAAUCCAUCUUUAUAAAGCACUUGUUAACUAUGCCAACAAGCAAGGAGUCUCCCCUCUCCAUGUAAGAUUUUCUCUUGUUGGAAAAAGAAUGCUCUAUGGCUAGCUAGACUGCCACAGGCUUUUUGCCAUACUGUAGGAUCCUCCUUCUCACACUGUGGCACCUUGUUAUGAAUAAUCCACAUAUGAUGAAAUUACAAUGGAAUCCAGUCGCAGCAAAAAGGGUUCCAGCCAGGCGGCAUGUCACUGCAUAUGCUGGAAAUGUAGCAACUUCAAUCCAUCUAUAAGGACACAGAACUGCCCUGACCUUUACUCCUUGGCCAUUCAUGGCAUUGACUCAGGGAAGAAGAACAUAGUGUUACUACCGAUGGAGAAUAGGCAUUCCCAUGUGUAUCAGCUUUUACUGAAGAUAAAUAUUCUGAAAGAUAUACUGUAUUUGGUGGAGUGGAUGAUAAAGGGAAAAGUGCAUUGCAUCUUGCUGCUAUGUUUACUGGUUAUCAUCUUCGCUCUCUCCUUAUGCUGCAUAUGGGAAAUCAAGUGGUACAAGUACCAGACUAUAAAACAUAUUUUCUCACAUGAACACGAAGAUCUGGUGCAAAAGGGUGGACAAUGGCUGGCUAGCAAAGCCAAUUGAUGCCCGGUGGUGGCUACUCUCAUUGCAACUGUUGCCUUCACCACAUCAGCAGCUGUACCAGGAGGCACCAAGAAAACAGCACUUCAUAUCUUUGCAAUUUCAUGACUUAUUGCUCUUUGAUUUUCAGUCACGACAUCUAGGUGUCAAGAACAAGACUUUGGUUCUGAUUUGCCCAGCAAGCUUUUGGUUGGACUAACUUCUCUUUUCACAUCCAUAUUGGCUACCUUGGUCAUUUUCUGUGCUGGCCAGUUCUUUGUUCUCAGAAAGAACUCAGAAUUGCCGCAUUAACAUGCCUUCCAGAAAUAUUUUUUACAAUAGCCUAGCUACAUCUAUCAGGUUACUGUGAUAUUUUUUUCAUAAUGAAUAAGAAUCAAGUACUCUCUUUUGUAUGUUAUUCGAUCCCUUUCGUAUUAUGCUCUACUUAGGUUUAUAAGAGCAUUGAAAAAAAAAA